CUAGAGUCUGCUAUUGUUCCUCUUAACCCGAAUCCACUGUCUUUGCACAUUCUCCAAUGAGAACUGGCCGGUGUGAGCUUUGAAGCCGAAAUCCACAGCGCAAGUCGCCAAUCAAACAAACCAGUCAGACAAACAGGGAGAGCGAGAGAGAGCGAGGAAAGAGCGUGCGUCUCAUAUGGACUAACAGAGCCGCGCUCGUGAUCAGUGCACGAUCUUCUGCCACUGGAUACCGGAAAGGGCCUCCUGAUCACCAUCUAUCAAAGCACAGCGAUUGAGCCUGAGAAUAAACGAGAAGGACUAUGACACAGGCGCUCAAGAGGCCGUGCACACGAGAUCGACUUGACAACUUUGGGCUCCUGAGCUCAAAUACAUCUGUAUUUAAGAUACGUUUAUUUAAUAGGACCAUCUGAGCCACAUGUGAGGAAACGUUGUGUAGUUAGAGCCUAAUGAAACAGUUGCGCAACUUAUAGCGCCAUCUAGCUCCUUUCUGUGUUCCUCCUGUGCACUGCAGCACCCCCUACAGGAACAUGUCUGCAGCGCAGACUCAGAAUGACCGGGAGCAGUGCUGGGGUUGUCUGGAAUCGCUCGGCCUCAGCCAGAGGGAGCUGGUCCUUGCAGAGGCCCUGCAGAUGGAGUAUGACGCUCUCGCCCGCCACCGACAGGACAAGGCCCCAGCAAAUACUCUACCCCCUGAAACCAAGUCAUCGCCUGCAAAAAGCGAGCCCUCCCUGCCUAGACACGUUCCCAGUCCUCCUUGGAAUAAUUUGCAGCAGGGUGUUUCCGGAUCUGACCCCAUGCUCAACCACGUUCAACCCGGGGUGUCGAACUUAUCACAAUCCAGCAGUGAGUCUUCCGGAUUUAGUAAGGAGCCUCGUUACAUUCUGGAUGAAUGGAAAAGUGACUUCGAAGGAACGUCGCAGUUGCUGUCAAAAGGGCCACCGUCUCUAGAUGAGCCUCCGCCACCAGUACCACCCAGAAAUCCCAUCCUCCAGAACGAUCCGUUCAUUGUCCAUCGAAGCUCAGCCCCACGGGAUGUCAACUUGUUCACUCCUGAGGUGGACCAGCCCAAGCUUUCCUUCGGAGACACUCUGAACUAUGAUAACCUCAAUGACUCCCUGAGCAAGCUAAAUGAGGAUUGGCUCUCACCUAAUAGAAGCCAGAGAGCAAAUGGGGACAAAUCAGGGAAGACAGUAGCUCGCAGUAACACCCUUCCUCCUCAGAUUCCUCCCCGCACCUAUCUUCCAGCGCAGAAGAGUACUAGAAGCCAACGCAGAGUAUCAAUUGAUCCGGUAUCUCUAGGGUCCAGGCCAAAUGGCUUUGGUUACGAGCUCUUUCAGGUUUCUGAAGAGAGGGAUGAAGAAGUGGCGGCCUUCUGUCAUAUACUUGACUUGCUACGAUUGGCGUACCCAUGCAAUGACUACUCCAAAAAUACAGGCUUUGUUUGGAGUCCGUGUGUGGCACAAGAUGAACUGCAGCAGGGCCUGGGGGUCAGCAUAAAGGUCACGGUUUACAGUGACAACUUCAGAGAACCACUCACAUUCUCUUGUGAUGGAUCUUCAACCAUAGACCUGCUAAUUUAUCAGACUCUCUGCUAUGCCCAUGAUGACCUGGAUAUGAUUGAUGUGGACGACUACCUGCUGAAAAUCUGCGGCCAGGCAGAGUUCCUCAAAAACACUCAGACUCUGGCGAGCUUUGAGUACAUCCAGCAGUGUCUGAAGUUUGACUGGGACAUUCAACUCAUUCUUACCAAACGGAGUUCUGUCAACAUGGAGCUGGGCCGAACGGCAGAGGAUGAUGUUACUCCAUCCACCAUGAACCAAAGUAUUCUACUGCAAGAGAGGUCAAUCAAACAGACCGUGACCAGGGAGGCACUGACUCUUCUCCUGGAUACCUUUUACAAUGAGGCUGAGUCUUUCCUUUUAUCGGAGGUUGAGUUGCCGUUGCAUGUGGAGAGGUUAGUGCAGUCUGUGAAGGCUUUGUGUUCUUCUCUAGCAGCUGUUGAAACACCUGACAUCACUGCUGCCCUAAACCAACUGCCAGCAUGCCCCUGCAGACUACAGCCUAAAGUGCAAAAGGAUGUCAGUGUCUUGGCAAAGAGAGAAAACAGAGUGACAAUUGUGGAGAAAUUGACUGCAGCCAUCUUGGAUCUUGUGGAGUUGUACUGCAGCACUUUCAAUGCUAAUUUCCACACCAUGCCACACAGCAGCAGAUCCACAGCCCCCAUACAGGAAGCUGGAAUGGUCACCAACGUGCUUUCCUUCAGCGUUUAUGCGGCUCAUCGCAUCCCUAUCACAUGGGCUCAUUCAUUAUACAUUUGCUUCCCCAUCCAGAUCAACCAGUUGCCAAGGGAGUCACAGUUGACUGUAACACUAUAUGCCACCCCUGUACCGCCCCCUGGAGGUGCGGAGGAGAAGGGCAAACAGAAACGCAGCAUUGAGGCUUUGGGUUGGGUCACCAUGCCCUUAUUCAACUUUAGACAUGUUCUAACAUGUGGGAGGAAGCUGCUGGGUCUCUGGCCUUCAACCCCUGGCAGUGGAAAUGCUCGUUCCAGUUUGCCCAACUUCAGCCAGCCAGACAGUGUCAUCCUUCAGCCAUGUGGGACACUUUUUAUGAUGGAUGGAUGUUUUGGAAGAGCCAGGAAAAUUAAUAUAACUCAGAUUCGGUUGACUCCAGAGGACCGGCGUCUAUUGUGGGAGAAGCGUUAUUUCUGCCACGUUGAAGCCAGUCGUCUGCCGCUGGUCCUGGCCAGCGCACCCAGCUGGGAGUGGGCAUGUCUUCCUGAUAUCUAUGCCCUGCUCCGCCAGUGGGGAUGCAUGAACCACCUGGAUGCCCUAGGCCUGCUGAACGCCACGUUUCCAGAUCAGGAGUGCAGGCGGACAGCGGUCCAGUGGAUGGACUCAAUCUCUGAUCCUGAGCUUUUGGACUUCCUUCCUCAGUUAGUGCAGGCGCUGAAGUACGAGUGUUAUCUGGACAGUCACCUGGUGCGUUUUCUGCUGAGGAGGGCCAUUGGGGACAUACGCAUUGCUCACUACCUCUUCUGGUUGCUGAAAGAUGCUCUUCAAGACUCUCAGUUUAGCGUGAGGUAUCAGUAUCUGCUGGCGGCUCUUCUCUGCUGCUCUGGUCGUGGUUUGAGAGAAGAGUUUGAUCGGCAAUGCUGGCUGGUCAAUAUUCUGGCUAAAAUAGCCCAACGUGUUCGAGAUGCCUCGCCUUCAUCCAGACAGGCUAUUCUCCGGGAGGGUCUGGAUGAGGUCAAACAGUUCUUCUCUAUGAACAGCAGUUGUCGACUUCCUUUGAACCCGGGCCUGUUCGUCAAGGGCAUCAACAUACAGUCUUGCUCCUACUUCAACUCUAAUGCAGUGCCCCUCAAGCUGUCGUUCCAGAACCAGGAUGCUCUGGGGGACCACGUCAAUGUCAUCUUUAAGUGUGGAGAUGACCUGCGGCAGGACAUGCUGACGCUGCAGAUCAUCCGGAUCAUGAAUAAGAUCUGGAUCCAGGAGGGACUUGAUAUGAGGAUGGUCAUCUUCCGCUGUUUCUCUACUGGACGAGGCAAAGGCAUGGUAGAGAUGAUUCCCAGUGCAGAAACCCUGAGGAAGAUCCAGGUUGAGCAUGGAGUGACUGGUUCUUUCAAAGACCGGCCUUUGGCAGAUUGGCUGCAGAAACACAACCCCACUGAGGAUGAGUAUGAAAAGGCAGUGGAAAACUUCAUCUAUUCGUGUGCUGGUUGUUGUGUGGCCACAUACAUUCUAGGAAUCUGCGACCGCCACAAUGACAACAUCAUGCUUAAGACUAGCGGACACAUGUUUCACAUCGACUUUGGCAAGUUCCUGGGGCAUGCACAGAUGUUUGGCAACAUCAAACGGGACCGGGCUCCUUUUGUGUUUACAUCUGACAUGGCGUAUGUCAUCAAUGGAGGUGACAAGCCAUCCAGCCGUUUCCAUGAUUUUGUGGACUUGUGUUGUGAAGCCUACAAUCUGAUUAGGAAACAUGCACAUCUUUUUCUCAAUCUGCUUGGGCUGAUGCUCUCCAGUGGGAUACCAGAGUUGUCUGAUGUGGAUGAUCUGAAAUAUGUUUAUGAUGCUCUGAGACCACAUGAAUCAGAAGCAGAUGCCACCAUGCACUUCACCAGGCUAAUCGAGUCCAGUCUUGGCAGUGUGGCUACUAAGCUCAAUUUCUUCAUCCAUAACCUGGCCCAAAUGAAAUUUGCAUCCUCUGAGGAGCGUCCCGUUCUGUCAUUUGCUCCCCGUGUCUACACUUUAAAGAGUGAUGGUGUCAUUCGCAACCUAUUCGUCUGCAGACACAUCAAAACCUAUACUCCAAGCAAAGGCUAUUCUUAUGUUGUAAAAGUGGAGCGGGAAGGUCAGCAGGGGUCAACUUUAGUCCAGAGGACAUUUGAGGAGUUCCAUGAACUUCACAGUAAACUGCAGCUCAUCUUCCCUUCAUCAAAACUACCCAGCUUCCCCAGCCGCUUUGUGAUUGGUCGGUCUCGAGGAGAGGCCCUUGCAGACAGGAGGAAAGAGGAGCUAAAUGGAUAUGUUUGGCAUUUGAUCCAUGCUACUCAAGAGGUGGCACAGUGUGAUCUGAUCUACACAUUCUUUCACCCUCUACCAAGAGACGAGCGGGCAGGAAGUUCCAGCUCCUCUUUUUCUCCAGAUGUGUCCUGGGCUCCUGUUCCCGGUACAGUGGCAGGGGAAGUGAAGCUCUCAGUUCUGUACAAGAGCGACAAGCUUUUUAUCAUGGUGAUGCACAUCAGAGGCUUGCAACCUUUGCAGGACGGAACAGAUCCUGAUCCAUACGUCAAAUUGUACCUCCUCCCAGACCCUCAGAAAACUAGCAAGAGGAAGACCAAGGCAGCCCGGCGAACAUGCAACCCCACUUACAAUGAGAUGCUGGUGUAUGACAAGAUUCCACGUGGUGAUUUGCAGCAAAGAACCGUUCACCUGCGGGUACUGAGUGAGGGUGCAUUCUGGGAGAAUACCCUGCUGGGUGAAACCAUUAUUCAACUGAAAGACCUCACCCCGGGCCAUCGCUGGGUUGGCUGGCACCAGCUUGGCUCUGACAUAAACCGCUAACACUUGUGUGGAUGCCCAUUGGAAAUGAAGGAUUUCACAUGAGUCCUUCAGUGUGCAUGCGUUUGUGUCUGUCUUUGCUUAUGGGUCUGGAGUUGGAGAUGCCCAGCUGCUCAGAAGCCUGUUUCCCCCAGUGGGGGUUUGUGUUUGUUAAUUCUCCCAGGAGACGUGUAGAGUCGGUGAUGGAGUGUCAUCGCUUGAUACUGUUCUGGUGGGGUACCGUGCACCAUGUGAACCAGACCUUGGAUUUAUGGAAGCGGUUCUUGGUGACACUAUGGGACAAAAACCAUUUGGUGACACAAGGAUUGGCAGACAGAAUAUUUAAAGAUGAAAUAACUUUCAUGCGCCAUAUUUUUGGGGAGAUUUCUGGAAAAUUGAUGUCUGUGAAACUUUAAAGCCCCAUUUUGUCUUCUUGAGAAUGCUAAUGGAAAUUUAAGUUAUUUUUUUUUUAAGAUGUUUCUCUGUUGCAGCUCAAUUUUGAGCUAUGUUGUGUCCUGUGACAUUAGUUUUUCUCUUUGUAUCAGAUUUUGCAGACAUUUACCUAGGAAUUAAUAGUGAGGAACGCUUUUGUACUGUAAAGUUGGAUAAUUUCAGAUUGCCUGUGGCAUUUACCUGAUCAUGAAAAAGGGAUGAACACUUAAUAGUCUUUGGCUUGAAAUUGUGGAAUUAACUUGCUUCAUAUAACCACUGCAGGAAGUGACACAAACAGUACAGAGGGAAUGUAGAUUUUUGAUCAUGUAAAAUAGGUGGGUUCAUAAAAAAAGGAAUUGCAUGUACAGUAUAUUGAGCAAAGGAGACAAACCAGGAAUAUGAAUUUUGUUGCAUAAACCUCUAAGAUUUGUUUCUUUCCAAAAUGAUGGGGCGCAACUUUAUAUGCAGAAAAGGCUUUUGAAGGGACUUGAUUUUGCCUUGUUGAUAUAAGCAUAACCUACACAAGGACAUUUCUGUUUGGAAAUAGUUGAUUUGCAUGUUGUAAUAUUUGCUACUGGAUAAAUAUUGCAUUUUUGCAUUUGUUUGUCAAGUAUAUUGACCUCACAUUUUUCCAAGUUUUAUUGGUUAAUUUUGUGUGUGUGCGCCAAAGGGGGAGUGAAAUGAAUGCUUUAGACUGUAGUUAGGUCAAUUUCCAUUCCACAUUUGUACAGUAUGUAAAACUGCAUGUAAAUUAAAUGCUAAAUAUACCACAGGAGUUUUUUUUUUUUUUUCAACUUAAAGAUUUUGCAUUUAGAUUUGCUUUACUUUGCACUCAGUUUGAUUUUGAGAAGAACAACCUUAUAGCUCAUAUAAGUUUAGAAAAGAAAUUAAGUAAUUGGAAAUCUAUUUAAAUUAUAUUUGAUCUUACUUGCAUAAAAUUGUCUAAUUUAACAAAGUGGCAUUGAUGUUUGUGUUACAAAAAUAACCUACAAGUCAAAAGUGCAACCCCUGUAUGCGGAGGUGCUCUAACAAUCCAGUAGCCUUAAGCAAACUUAUAGGUAAGAUUAUCCAGUUCAAAGCAGUCCCUGUUCUAUAGCUCUUUCUAACCAGACAAACCAGCUCCAUUUCAGAUAUGAAGUACAUUUUCCCAAGUAUUGAACUUUCCUUCAAAUGACAAAUGGUUGUGUAUGUGUAUUUUUUCCCUCCAAAGGGCACUAUUGUGUGAUGUUUAACCUAAUGGGAAAUGAUUGUAUGAUUGCAUGCCAACCCAUAAUGCAAAGCUGAGUGUUUUAGAAAAAAUAAUAAUAAUAAUGUUUUGUGUGUGUAUGCAGAAGAGUUUGGAUUUAAACGUAUAGUACUUUUAUAACAUCUGUGACCCUUAUUUUAAUAAAUAAAGAGGAUGUGAUUAAAAUCA
ensembl:lncRNA